UGUAAAGGAAUGGGAAGAAUGGGAAGAACUUACCCUAUUUAGCAGAAAAUGGGAUUGUGACACAAAUGCAGUAGGUGGUGGACCCAAAGCACUUCUGAAGCACAAUCUGGAUAUCAUUCUUGUUGAACCACGAGGACCUCCUGCAGACAUAUACAACUAAAGAGGAUAGUAUGCUAUCAACAGACAAAUGAUGAAGAAAAAUAGCCUCUUGAAAAUGAAAACCAAUGCAAAGUUCUAAAGUCUCUGGCAGCAGACACUGAAAAUCCUCUCCUGAGAAGACAUUACCUGCAUGGUUCUCAAGUGGAGGUGAAACUUUACAAAACGAUAAGAAAAGUAGAAGACACUUUAUUGAUAAAAUAUCCACAUUCGAAAA
rnacentral:lncRNA from 1 species